ACCACAGCACUCUAGCCUGGAUGACAGAGGCAAGACUCUGUCUCAAAAAAACAAACAAACAAAAAAAGCAAACUAAGAGGGUAAAGAUAUUCUUAAAUGAAUUAGCACAGUAAUGUCAAUGAACUAAUGUUUUCAGAUAAAAUAGAUCCUCAGAUUAGAGCCACCCCCCAAACAAUCCAUCUACGUGGUAUUCCUGAACCCUAAAAUAUAAGGACACAUAAAGAUUGAAAGCUAAAGAAUCCCCUCCACCAGCAAAAAAAGGGUACCGGGAAAAUACUCGUGAAAAGAAAGCGAAGGGGGCUGAGUUGAUAUCACACAAAAGGUGCUUGAAGGCAGAAUGCGUCUGAGGAGAAAGGCUGCUGCGUGAAAGUAAUGAUUUGCCUGGAAGGUGAAAUGAUUCUGUGUUUAGGUUCACUUAGCAUAACUUCAAGAUAUGUAACUUUAAAAUUGCUGGAAUUUACAGUCAAUAAUCAUAUUACUACAUUAUUAAUGCACUUUUCUCAGUAUUGGUGGAUUAAGCAGGCAAAAUAAUUCUCAAACUUAAAGAAAAGUUGAAAAGCAAGCUUAAUCUGGCAGCAAUUUGUAGAACCUUCCAAACUCAAUCAGAGAAUUGACCACAUUCUAGUCACAAAGCAAGCUUCAAGAAAUAACAAAGAAUUCUCUGUUCUCUGAUUACAAUAAAAUUAUAUUAGAGAUCAGUAGCAAGAAGAAAACUUUUAAAACCCUGCAUAUGUUUGGAAAUUUAAAACUGACUUCUAAAUAACACAUAGGUCAAAAAAGAAGCCAUCGCAAAAAUUAGAAAAAUUGAGAGCUGAACAAUAAUAAAAAAAAAAUCGCAUCGAAAUGUGGGAUGCAGCUAAAGAAAUACUUCCAGGGAAAUGCAGAGCUUCCAGUGCUUACAUUGAAGAGAAAAAGAGAUGGAAUAUGAGCCAUGCAGCAAAGUCGAAAGUUAAAAAAAAAAGAGAUAGAGAGAGAGCCCAAAGAAAGUCGACGGAAGGCGACAAUGAAAACCAGAAAUGAAGAAAACAGAAAAUGCAGGUGCAGCAGAGACGAUGCGAUCGGCAAGGUCGAGAGCUGGUUCUCUGAGAAUCUGUGAAAGGGGAACCCUGGCAGGUGGAUCAAAAGGCAAAAAGAAGAGAGAGAGCAGGAAUGUUAGGCAUGAAGAGGGAAACAUCCUGAAACAGACGUCUGCCCGUUGAAGACAUUUCUGUGGUAAGACAGGUCCUGAACGGGCGGCCGGGGUCCCUGCGCCCCAGCCCCCGCCCCGCGGUCGCCGCGCCCGAGCGGAGAACAGGCCCCCACAGGAAAGGAGGCUGCUUUUGAGAAGGAGAAAACCAGCAUAGAGGAUAUUUUUAAGGUUUAUUAUCGUAGUUGGCAGUACCAAGUCACAACAUGAAAUCCCACUGUGUGUAGGCUGAUGGGUGAUACAUUAUCCAAAUGACAUUUUGAAUGACAAUUAGGUUUUGAAAAUCCUAAUCGGGUUCCUGAGCGGGUUCAUUUGAAAAAUGCCACCGCGUUUAAGAGUGACACUGCCGCCUUCCCGUGGCACUGACACGACACACCAUGACAGCGUCCCAGGGGCGGGCUGGGGACUGGCACGGCCCCCCGCAGACUGGCGCUGAGGAAGAGCACUGAGGGCAGAGUGCCCUGGAGACUUCCCUUUGCUUCGCUCGUCAAAGACGAGACGGCUGCCAGCAGCCAGGGGUGGCCGGUCUGGCUGUGCGGAGCCUGGACAGGGCACGGCCACGAGGGCGCCCGCAGGCUCGGGGAGCAGGAGGCCACACCGGUGCGAGCCCACUUCAUUUCAGGAAACCUCAAUGUGUCAUCUGCAAGAAAUCCUAUAAAUACUUUCAUUCAGGGAAAAAAAAAGGUGUUUCUUUAUAAAAAUAGACCAUACCUUUGAUAACUCACCUCACAAAUGAAACUAAUUUUGGAUAUUUUGGGCAUGAAAACUUUCUAAGCAGGUUCAGAGUUUUACAAAACUCUCCAAGUCAGUGUUUCUGAGCAUGUGGCCUUACAUCAAUGUAAGUUAAAAUCCCACGUUCCAAGGCCAGGAAUUUCCUGACUUCCUUCUUGGCUCAAAACAGAGCUUCCUCUCCUCUCCACACUGGCCUGCCUGGGGCCCGCGUGUGAAGCCUCCCCCUGCUGCUGAAAGGGACGGACCGCAGGCCACCUCAUUCUGUUGCCUCCGUGUAAGUGUCACCUCUCCCGCUGGGUGCUCUGCAGGCCGGGUGGGCACGUGCCCGAGCCGAGCACACGUGGGGUGGAAGUCAGAGGCUGCUGCCCGCCCCCUCCCCGCGUCUGGGGCCCAGGCCACCCCCUCUGUGGGGGUCCCACGGCCCUGGCAGCUGAAGCUCACCCAGCACAGAUUCUGGACACCCGUUAGCCAUUUGGUGAAGACGUUUGUAAACUGUAUGUAAAUUGUAAAGUGCUCCAGGCCAUUCUCUCUCUAUCAAGUGGUGGUUCUCUUCCCACAGGAACCCACAGUAGAACUGGGGUGCUGGUACUUUCACCCUCCGGGUGGGGAGGUGACAGCGGGGCAGAGGUGUCUGCCGGGCACUCCUGUACUGCCCUCUCCGGGUGCCUACAGCCUUCAUUCCCUAAGGCAGACCCAAGGCCCUCAGUUUCCCCUCUCCACCCCAGCGAGCUGUGAGUGGAACUUGCGAGCUGCCUUGGCCUCCCGGGAUGGUGGGCCAGACAGGCUCUCGCUGCCACCGUGACAGCACGUGGCUCCCUACAGACAGCACAGUAACAGCUUUCGUUAAAAUUUCAUUCACAUUUUAAUAAAAAUCUGUUUUAGUAAUAUUAGUUUCACAGCUUUAUCAUGAUGCCACAUCUAUGCAAAAUGGUAACACCAGGGGAACCAGGUGAAGGGCAUGUGGACACUCUGCACUAUCUUUGCAACUCUUCUAUAAGUCUAAAAGAUUUUUCAAAAUAAAUAGUUGGAAAGGAAAUUGAGGGCCGUCUUCUAGACCUGUUGGAAGUUCAGGUAGCACCCAAGCAGCUCUUACCCCUGCCGCCCACCGAGGCUGAGGGGGGCGGGUCCGCUGUCCACAGCAGGCUGACGGCAGGGACGUGGUUGGAAAGAGUCAGAGCUGAAGACGGCUCAUGCCUUUUCCAGUUAGCUCUAGGAACUUCGCUGAAAGUGCACACUGUCACCUCUGCCACCAAACCAACCCAGAGCCCUCACUCCCCCGUCCUCAGUGUCUGAUGGUCUCCAGGUGGGACUGGGAUAGGACGAUUCCCAGGCUCGAGGACAGGUACCGUGUUUCCCGCUCACAGGCAGCGCUGUGCCCCCAGUCAGAGUCUUACCAGGGGAUACCCCCAAAGCCUUGGAGGGAAGCGAUUCACUUCUAUUCCUUUUUCCGUCCAUUUUUCUCAACAACUAUUUUUCAGUACCUAGUGUAGGUAAAGCGUUACGCAGUUGGGACAAAGAGCAGAUCCAGAGCCAGGCACGGUGGCCACGCCGUCUCGGGGGCUCCUGGCUGUGCACGCAUGUUGGAGCGCUCACUCCGGUUCCUUCCCACCACCCCUGACCACAGGCACUUCCCUGUGACUCAGAGCCGUUUGCCCCAGGUGAACUCUUCAUCCCCAAGGCAUAGGUGAAUGUCUGGGAGAUCAAAUUCACACAAGUGCUGCGUGAUGUCUGCACUGCCAGCCAGGACGUGGCAUCUUCGAACGACAGAGCCAAGCUCCGCAGCCCCGGAGUCGUUUCUCUCCUCUCCUCAUUUUCCUGGUGCCACCAACACCAUUAUCCUUCAAAGAUUCCCAGCUCUCAUCCUGGAAUGUUCUUUAAUCCUUCUGUCACCUCCCUGCGCCUCCUCCUCCCCAGCCAGUCUCCUGGCCUGCCUUUCCUUCCACACGGGGUCGCCUGGAUCCACCGCAUCCGUCACCGUCUCUCACCUGGCCCGGCAAGAAUAACAUUCUAAAGGGAAGUCUAACUACACAUCAACACGGAAAGCAUGGUGACUUGACACAUACCCACGUGAAGGUCCAGUGUGGUGCUCCUGGUCAGGGGCCCCAGCAGGCACCUGCUUCCCUGGCUGGCUCUGCCGAGGGCUGGGCUGUGGAGAGCUUCCCUUCCAUUCAGGACUCGAGGGACAAUGGGAAACACCAAGGCUCGCCCUGCUGUCUGUAGGCCCAGCCUGCUGCUCGGUCCUUGUGUCUCCAUAAACCUCAGCCCUCUGUAAACGUCGCCUUGACUAAACCGUCGCUGAAUCCUCUGGGUAGGUGGGGCCGUCUGGGACUUCCUGGGUCCUGUUGUUCCCCUGGACGUGCAGGUCCACACCAGCCCGUCCCUGCCUGCUUCUGCUCUGCCCCCGUGACGGCCAAGUCAACCCUCACCCCUGUCUUCAGGCCACGUGCUCAGCCUUCAUCUUCAUUUUCAGAUAACCUUUUUAUUGAGAAGUGCAGGUCCUCGGGCGUGAUUCCUCUGACUCUGGCUUUGGGUGCACAAACAUUAGGGGCAGGCGGGCCGCUCCGGCCACUGGUGAGUUUCUCUCGUUCUCUCCUCAGUUCGAUUUGUUUCACAAAGGAUUACACACUGCUGGCCCUCCUUUGUCACCUACUACUGUCUUCUUAAUGCCCUGCAGUCCGAAUGCCACCCCUGCACACUAAUGAAACUGUCCUAAGAUGACCAGUAGCUUCCAAAUAGCCAGAUCAUAUCUACCUUUUCAAAUCUUAUUUAAUGGGGCAUUUUGACAUUUUGAUCACUCCUUCAAAUAAUGUUUCAUUACCUAAGUACUUUUGUUGAAUGUUGAAAAAAAUGCUAAUAUAAAGAUAAGCCCCCCCAAAAGAUUUGUAGUCCUACUAUCUAGCUACAACCAUUAACCUUUUACUGUAUGGCCUUCCAGACGCUUCUAUGCAUAUAUAUUAAAUGGAUUAUGUAAGGAAUUAAUAAUACGUAACAUUUAGUAGUAUGGUCAUCUUUCCUUGUCAAAAAUACAAAGACACGUUCAUUUGAAUGGCUACAUUGGAUUCCACUGUAUGGUAUUGUUUGUUUACAUUUGGAAAUGUUGGUUGUUGCCAAUUGUUCCUUAUUAAAGAACAACCUUGUGAUGAUGAAUGGGCUUCUUGGUGCUCCAUAUUUUUAUUUAUUCUAAUUGUUUUCUUAGAGUAAGUCAUUAGAAGUCACAGCCCUGCUGGAAGCUCUCAGCCCACACACCGGCUGCGCUGUCUGCUCAACACAGACAAGAAGGGACGAGCCGGGCUGUGGCUGCAGCCUGGGGCCGGGGCACAGCACUCGGGCGCGGCGCCGCCGGCGGUAACGGGGAGGCGUCCUGGUGCUUCCCCACCUUGGAAACAAUGGAACAUCCCAUAAGCUGCCUGAAUGCGCAUCUCUCAAACCUGCUCUGUCUACCUCGUAAUCGCAGUCACGUUCUCCUAAAUUCUGGCGUCGUUACCUCGUCUCCGCUCCCUGCACCGCGCGGACCCCUCGGCCUCCCCUCCCAGACGGCAGGUCCGUCUGCCCAGCUGCCCACCAAACGCCACCCAGGAUAAUGGGGAGCCCUCAAAGCUGUGAGGUUCGAAGCGGUUUCACCCCCCGCCCCUCGGUCGCGGGAUCCAGAAACGGCCGCCCUGCAGACGCGCUCUCCCCGCCGCGCCCGGGCACCGCGCACCACCGACCUCACCCUGGAGGAGUCGGUGCAGUCGGCUGCUGCUUCCUCCGUGCUCCCAGGUCCGAGACAGGGCCUGGCCGUCUCCCACGGGAGAGUCCAGAGUGGCCUCUCCCUUUCCUCCGCUCCUGUCCCACCCAAAUGCGGACUCCUCCGCAGCCAGCGUGAACUGCACUCCGGGGUAGGUGCUGCGUGCUGUGCCCCUCGCUGCCUCCUGCCGGGCCUGCUCCACGCUCCCGCCGACGUGGGGCACAGCGCACACAGCCCUCUGUGGCGUGGUCCCACGCCGCCUCUCCUGCAUCAACUCACGCCACGCCUUGCCUUAGGUACCACAACCCUCCCCGGAUCCCUUGCAUUUCCAGGACGCACAGCUCCAAGCCUUUGCUAACAAUGCCUGCAGUGUGCUUCCUCCCCCGUGGGCCUAACUCUGACCUCGUAAGUCUCAGCUCGCCCAGGCAGCCAUUCCUAACAUUUUGUCUGUGUUCCCAAAAUGUUCUGUGCUAAUUUAUGUUCUUUCUCUUACCACAUUGCAUUACAUUUAUUUGUUUUUACCACUAGAUAUUGAAAUCCUGGAAAGCAAGAACUAUGCCUUUUUCAUCUCUGAUUCCCUUUUUCAUCUCUGAUUCCCUAGUUUCUCUUAUAUUAAUAGUACCAGGCACCUUGGCACUCAAUAAAUUUUUUGAAUUAA